rnacentral:snRNA from 1 species
GAUGGCGUCUUUUGUUCAGUUUUUCAAAUGAGAAUCUCAGGUGCAGAAAAGAUCAGCAUAGCCCCUGCACGAGGAUGACACGCAAAUGAGUCUCAGCACUUCUUG